rnacentral:tRNA from 1 species
AGGGUUGAAGUUUUAAACAUUUGAUUUGCAAUCAAAAAUUAUUGAAUUAAUUUUCAAUCUACCUUA